rnacentral:rRNA from 1 species
GAUGAACGCUGGCGGCGUGCCUAAUACAUGCAAGUCGAACGCUGAAGGAGGAGCUUGCUCUUCUGGAUGAGUUGCGAACGGGUGAGUAACGCGUAGGUAACCUGCCUGGUAGCGGGGGAUAACUAUUGGAAACGAUAGCUAAUACCGCAUGACAACAGUUAUUGCAUGAUAACUGUUUAAAAGGGGCAACUGCUCCACUACCAGAUGGACCUGCGUUGUAUUAGCUAGUUGGUGAGGUAACGGCUCACCAAGGCGACGAUACAUAGCCGACCUGAGAGGGUGAUCGGCCACACUGGGACUGAGACACGGCCCAGACGCCUACGGGAGGCAGCAGUAGGGAAUCUUCGGCAAUGGACGGAAGUCUGACCGAGCAACGCCGCGUGAGUGAAGAAGGUUUUCGGAUCGUAAAGCUCUGUUGUAAGAGAAGAACGAGUGUGAGAGUGGAAAGUUCACACUGUGACGGUAGCUUACCAGAAAGGGACGGCUAACUACGUG